UACGGGGGGUGCGAGCGUUGUCCGGAAUCACUGGGCGUAAAGGGCGCGUAGGCGGCCUUCUAAGUCGAACGUGAAAUCCCCGGGCUCAACCCGGGAACUGCGUCCGAUACUGGAAGGCUUGAAUCCGGGAGAGGGAUGCGGAAUUCCAGGUGUAGCGGUGAAAUGCGUAGAUAUCGGGAGGAACACCGGUGGCGAAGGCGGGUCUCUGGGCCGAUACUGACGCUGAGGAGCGAAAGCGUGGGGAGCGAACAGG
rnacentral:rRNA from 1 species